CGGACGGGUGAGUAAUGUCUGGGAAACUGCCUGAUGGAGGGGGAUAACUACUGGAAACGGUAGCUAAUACCGCAUAACGUCGCAAGACCAAAGAGGGGGACCUUCGGGCCUCUUGCCAUCGGAUGUGCCCAGAUGGGAUUAGCUAGUAGGCGGGGUAACGGCUCACCUAGGCGACGAUCCCUAGCUGGUCUGAGAGGAUGACCAGCCACACUGGAACUGAGACACGGUCCAGACUCCUACGGGAGGCAGCAUG
rnacentral:rRNA from 1 species